UAAGGAAUAUUGGUCAAUGGACGAAAGUCUAAACCAGCCAUGCCGCGUGAAGGAUGAAGGUCCUCUGGAUUGUAAACUUCUUUUAUCUGGGACGAAAAAAGGGAAUUCUUUCUCACUUGACGGUACCAGAAGAAUAAGCACCGGCUAACUCCGUGCCAGCAGCCGCGGUAAUACGGAGGGUGCAAGCGUUAUCCGGAUUCACUGGGUUUAAAGGGUGCGUAGGUGGGCAGUUAAGUCAGUGGUGAAAUCUCCGGGCUUAACCUGGAAACUGCCAUUGAUACUAUCUGUCUUGAAUACUCUAAAGAUAAGCGAAAUAUGUCAUGUAGCGGUGAAAUACUUAGAUAUGACAUAGAACACCGAUUGCAAAGGCAGCUUACUACGGAGUCAUUGACACUGAGGCAC
rnacentral:rRNA from 1 species